GUACGCUGGCGGCACGCCUAACACAUGCAAGUCGAACGAAGUAGCAAUACUUAGUGGCAGACGGGUGAGUAACAUGUAGGUAUCUGCCCUUUGGCCUGGAAUAACAUGAGGAAACUUAUGCUAAUACCGGAUAAGUCUUUACGGAGAAAGCUUUAUGCACCAUUGGAUGAGCCUGCACUUGAUUAGUUUGUUGGUGGGGUAAUGGCCUACCAAGACUUUGAUCAAUAGCUGAUUUGAGAGGAUGAUCAGCCACAUUGGGACUGAGACACGGCCCAAACUCCUACGGGAGGCAGCAGUGGGGAAUCUUGCACAAUGGAGGAAACUCUGAUGCAGCGAUGCCGCGUGAGUGAAGAAGGCCCUUGGGUUGUAAAGCUCUUUCGUCGGGGAAGAAAAUGACUGUACCCGAAUAAGAAGGUCCGGC
rnacentral:rRNA from 1 species